UUGGAGGGCAAGUCUGGUGCCAGCAGCCGCGGUAAUUCCAGCUCCAAUAGCGUAUAUUAAAGUUGUUGCAGUUAAAAAGCUCGUAGUUGAAUUUCGGGGUCAGUAGGUUGGUCGUGCCUAUGGUAUGUACUGGCUUUACUGAUUCCUCCUUCUUGAAGAACUGUAAUGUCAUUAAUUUGGUGUUGCAGGGAAACAGGACUGUUACUUUGAAAAAAUUAGAGUGUUUAAAGCAGGCUAACGCUUGAAUACAUUAGCAUGGAAUAAUGAAAUAGGACGUUCGAUCCUAUUUUGUUGGUUUCUAGGAUUGACGUAAUGAUUAAUAGGGAUAGUUGGGGGCAUUAGUAUUCAAUUGUCAGAGGUGAAAUUCUUGGAUUUAUUGAAGACUAACUACUGCGAAAGCAUUUGCCAAGGAUGUUUUCAUUAAUCAAGAACGAAAGUUAGGGGAUCGAAGACGAUCAGAUACCGUCGUAGUCAUAACCAUAAACUAUGCCGACUAGGGAUCGGAUGAUGUUAAUUUUUUUAAUGACUCAUUCGGCGCCUUACGGGAAAC
rnacentral:rRNA from 1 species